GUUGAGGGGAAUGUUGUCCGGCUCGAUGCAACAAUCUAGCUAGCUAGCUAUUGAUAGCUAGUUUGUGUCAUCGGACCAGGCUUCAUUCCCCCCAAC
rfam:Daucus carota subsp. sativus cultivar DH1 chromosome 4, whole genome shotgun sequence.